CCAUCAUCCUGGCAGAGUCGCUUGUUAGAGCAGCGAAGAUCUGUAAAAGCAAGAGCACCGCUACGUUUUGUCAGAGCGAGGGUACUGAAGGAUACCGGAAAGAUCGUUGAUGGCUGUUACAUUUUUGCAGAGGACCGGACUGCUCUUUUGGGUCAGAGAAGGCCAUCAGCAAGCCUCAUCCUUGUCCCUUGGACUCCGCCACUCCCGCGGAGCUUGCUCGCCCGCAGCCUGCGGCAGGGAGGCCCCAGCGCCCGUAGGUGGCGCCCCACGUCCGUGCUUGCGCUUCUCGCCCGCGCUCUGGGCGCAGCUGGGAAACCAGCGCGUCUCCCCAGGUCGUUAGAGCUCAGAGUAGGCAUUUUAAUAAAUAAGCGCGUGUGCCAAUGCGCUCCAGGAGCCCCGAGGUUCAGAGGCGCACAAACAUAAACCCAGGCGGAGGCGCCUCUUUAAUCCCUGCCAAAAUCUGACAUUUCCCAAACUGAAGAUUCCGGAACUACAGCAUUUAAGCCAUUAAAAUCCCAAGCUUUUUCUCUCCAGUCCAUUCCUUUCAUUUUUAUUUUUAAAGAAAACUGCUUUACCCCUUAAUUAUGAAAGUAGUCACGCUAUUAAGGAUUAAGACUUGGAGGGAAUUUGGAAAAGAAAAGAAAGAAUCGAAAAGAAGAGGCGCGACCGGUGCUUUGAGGGUGCCUAAUUAUUAAAAGCGAGGCGUCUGGGAGGAAUUCGCCCUGGGUGUUUGGAACAACUUCGCGGACAGCACUGCUCGCUCAUCAUGGAUGUUCCAGGUCCGCUGGAGCCUUUCUUCUGAGGACGACCCUGGCCUUGACCGUCAGAGCAGGGGACCGAGGCCAAAGGAGGCUUCCCCAGGCCCCGCGCAGCCCUGCGCGCCCUCCGGCGCUCCUCCAGCCCCUGUCCGCCGUCGCCCCCGCGCGCCGC